rnacentral:misc_RNA from 1 species
AAGUCGUAACAAGGUUUCCGUAGGUGAACCUGCGGAAGGAUCAUUAAAACGUAUCCAACGUUAACCAACUGUGAACUUGUUUCUCCCUGAGCUUUGAAAAAUUGGUAGCUAUGAAUGACAUUGAGUGGGAUCCUUUAAACAAGGAUCGGUCGUUUAUAGUCACUGAUAUACUUUACUGUAUAUCGACAAGAGUAUCUUAGUGAAGGCUUUCUCUCUGUCUACAUUCUCCAUUCAAGAGUGGGGCAGAGGGCUACACAUUAACUAUAAUCACCCCUAUUUUGCUAGUUGAAUUCUUUAAUGUUGAUGUUUAUGAAAGUAAUCAUCACACGUUUCAUUAUUUGAACGUAAAUUACAACUCUUAGCAAUGGAUAUCUUGGUUCUC